UUUAAUUGAAGAGUUUGAUCAUGGCUCAGAUUGAACGCUGGCGGCAGGCCUAACACAUGCAAGUCGAGCGGCAGCGGAAAGUAGCUUGCUACUUUGCCG
rnacentral:rRNA from 1 species